UGCUCCAUCUCCCUCUCCCUCUCUUGUUUUCCAUUCUCCCUCUCCCUAUCUUGUGCUCCAUCUCUCUCCGUCUCUUGCUCCAUCUCCCUCUCCGUCUCGUGCUGCCUCUCCCUCUCGGCGCAUCGUCUCCAUUGCCACCAUCAUUGUCUCCAAAUCUAGUGCAGCCAGCAGCUCCCGCCCUUCACAUCUUCCCUGACAGGUUCUUAUAUACAGAGAUUGGACGUCUUCAGAACAUUCACAAUAGCCAUAGAUGUAGUGGAAAUGAACAAUUGCAAGUUGAUGAUUCUACAAGCUCGUUUUUCUCUCAGGGACAGAUUUUCCUGACCAAGGAAAAUGCAAAAUGAGACCGGGCUGGAAAUUGCAUCUAUAUAUCACACAGAUGCCAUGUAACUCUUAACAUUUUUUUCUUUAAAUUAUUAUUGUGGUGGUCCUGUUAAAUAUAUGAAGUUUUCAAUUGUUUUCACCACUCAUGUCAAGGAGAUUUUACUAUUGCUUCUUAUUAAAGUUGCUUAUUUGUUGAUACUGUUCUAUACUGAAAUUGGAUGAUAUUUUGUGCCAAAUUGACUGAAUGAUCAUGAAAUACCAUUGCAUUUUGUGAUAUUUGGUGGAACCAAAUGCACCCUAAAAUAAAUUUGGUAAGGUGUCCAAUUGUUAAUCAUGCCUAAAUUCCUGUAGGGGUCGACCCAAAACUCUGAUAAGUGGUCAUAGACCAGUUCCAGGCCUAAUAAAUGCCUAAAAAUCAGGUGAUUAAUUCCCCAUCUCAGAUAGACCCAGGCAUUGUUAAGGGUGAGUUUGGUUGCAUCAAAUUUCAUGAAAUUUCACCCAAAGUACUUGUCAUUAUCGCCACUAAAAUUUCAUGUUAAUUCAGUUGGGCAAUCUGGAGACAUCGGAUGGUCAUGACUGGCAAGGUCUAGUGGACUAUGCAUGGAGCCAUGAUGUUGUGUCGGACAAAACUCACCAAUCAUAAGUAAUGGCAGAUGUGUAUGUGAUACUAUGGUGGAUGUUUCAUCAUGCUUAAGUAAUGGCAGAAAAGCACCCUGAGAUUUAGCCCAUGAAGUGUCUGGUGAUGGAAUCCUGUUUUUGAGUAUGUUAGCUCACCCCUAAACCGGAAUGGAUCUAUUGCCUAGUUCUGAAGAAUCAAGUUUAAGGACUUAUCUAGGUGCAAGGAAACAUUGUCAACCCUUAAAGCCAUGCAGGGGCAAGGAGCCUAUCCGCAACUAGAGCUGGACAUAGCUCACCUUGAAAAGGAAAUUGAUUUAUAUUCACUGGAGAAGCUGUGUUAUGAAGCUCAAAUGAUGGUAUGGUAAAUGAGAAGGCUUCAUCUCCUUUUCAAAUAGGAAAUUGCUUCACAUCUGGGCUUUCCUGAUGGUUCUGUAAGCCACUAUGGCAUGGAUGUUGAUGUUAAUAGUGUGUUAUUAAUGGCUGACAUUGUUCUUUAUGGUUCCUUUCAAGAGGAACAAGGUUUUCCUCCAUUGCUAAUUAGAGGCAUGUCCUUUGAAGUACCUAUCAUUUCUUCUGAUUUGGCUAUCAUAAAAAGAUAUGUGAGCUUAGUGCCAUUUAAACUCAUCCUUGUUUCCUUGACAUUUACAUGAUUGAAGUUCGCAAUUUUUUAUUUAUAUUUAUUUAAAAACCCGUCUUAAUACAGGUUGUUAACGAAGUCCAUGGUUUGAUUUUUCAAGCACCUGAACCUGAGACAUUGACUAGAGCUUUCUCGAUUUUAGUAUCGGACAUGAAGCUGUCUAAAUUUUCUCAUGUAGUUGCUUCCUCUGGAAAGUUACUUGCUAGGAACAUACUACCAUUAGAGUGCAUAACAGGCUAUGCAAAGCUUCUAGAAAAUGUUCUUCAGUUUCCAUCAGAUUCCAUGCUCCCUGGGUCCAUUUCUCAGCUUCAAAAAUACAAUUGGGAAUGGAAUUUGUUCAGGAAGAAAUCAUAUGAGAGAGGCACGAGCCAACAAUGAAGCCAGAACUGAACUUGAGAUUCGUUUGAGAAAAGCUGGGGAGCGAGAAGCUACCCUUGUUCAAGCACUUGAAGAAUUGAGGUAGACUCUUAGUAGAACAAAACAGCAGGUAUUUAUUUGAUCCUGAUUCUUGGACUGUAAUUUCACUAAGUAACAAAAAAUGAUUCAUUUGUUGGUUUGCUGUUGUAGGCAGUUUUUAGAGAGGACAUGGUUCAAAGAGACAUUGAUGAUCUUCAAAGAUUGGGUGGUAUGCAACAACAAAAAGUUUAAAAUUGUAGUAAUUGCCUGUUUUUUGCUGAUCUUAUAUAUCUUUUUUUUUUUGCCAUUAAAAGUCUCCGUUAUAGCGU